UUAUGGAAAAUUCAACAUUAAUAUUAUAAUAUUUAUUUAUAAAUAUUAUGAAAAUAGUGUGCAAUUUUUCCAUAUAAGGACAUUGUAAUCUGUUAAUGUAAUAAAUAUUUAUCAUAAGAUUCAAUAAUAAAAAGUUUAUUCAAAUUAGUUAUUUUCGAAUUUCUAACAUAAAAUAAAUUUAAUUGAAUUUGAUAAAUCAUUGACAGAUUUAUUUAUAUAUAAUGCUUAAAUUCUUAAUUGAAUUUUACAAUAAUUUUUAAAUUUAUUUUAAUUUAUUAAUUUAAUUGUAUGCAUUUAUAUGAUUAACAAUGCUAUAGAUUCAGGAUACCUUCGGGACCCGUCUUGAAACACGGACCAAGGAGUCUAACAUAUGUGCAAGUCAUUGGGUAUUUUUGAAAAGCCCAAAGGCAUAAUUAACUUAACUGUUUUGGUAUGGGAUUAGUUUAUAUUUUAUUAUGAAAUAUUAAUUCAAUCCCGGGGCGUUCUAUAUAGUUAUGUAUAAUAAUAUUUAUAUUAUUUAUGCCUCUAACUAGAGCGUACCUUGAGCAUAUAUGC
rnacentral:rRNA from 1 species